GGUUGUUUUUGGUUUUGGUUUGGUUUUUUUUUUGCCUGUUGAAGCAACUGAUUUUGGCACAUACAGUGGUUUUUUACUUUAUUUCUAAAGGAGGUUGCCCCUUACACAUCUCAAGAUUUGACCUUAAAGUAAUUAUAAAUGGAGCAGGAAAAGUGUUAUACUUUAUAUUCUUACACUCUAAACAUUCUUGUGUUCUAAUAAUCUAAUGUAUGCUUUUACUGACUGCUAAUUUAUUUUUGUAUUAAAAAAACCACAGAACUCUAAACUCACAGUUAUCCAUUCACAACUCUUUUUAAUAGUCGGAUGCAAAAUGAAGGUCAUCCAAAGUGGUUCGUUCUGGGUGUUGGACAAGUCAUAAAAGGGUUAGAUAUUGCUAUGAUGAAUAUGUGUCCUGGAGAAAAACGCAAAGUGAUCAUUCCUCCGUCAUUUGCAUAUGGACAGCAAGGAUAUGGUAGCGCUUCAAGAAAGUGUUAUUUCUCUUCAACAUACCUGUCCUCUGCGUAUGUCUCAGCAUAUUCCUACAUGCUGGGAAAGAUGCCUGCCUAAUCUUGAAUUAGAAAAGAUGCAUGUGGCUUUCUAAAUCUUUACAUAUCUUUCCUUUGUUGCACAGAUCAAGAUUCCACCCAAUGCAACACUGAUCUUUGAGAUUGAACUUUAUGCAGUAAAUAAGGGACCUCGCAGUGUUGAAGCGUUCAAUCAAAUCGACAAGGAUGGUGACAAGAAACUUUCUGAACUUGAGAUAAGCCAGUAUUUGAAAGAAGAAUUUGCAAGAGAUGGCAAAAAACGUCAUCCCUCAGUCCAUGAUGAAAUCUUAGCUGAUAUAUUUAAGAAGAAUGACCACGAUGGAGAUGGUUUCAUAUCAGCAAAGGAGUACAAUGUCUACCAGCAUGAUGAACUCUAAGUACUUAGAAAAAUCUUUGGCCAUUUUCUGGACACUGAAUUUUAAAUAAUAAUACUUUGUCACAGAUUUUUUUGUAUUUUUUUUAUGGUGGCAUCUUUUUAUACCUCUUAAAAUGACUGUAAAAAUCUGAUUUUUAGUGUUCAACUAAUAAAGUGUUAUACAUUUCAAAAGAAAGAAAUAAAAUUGGAAAACACUAUGAUC